rnacentral:misc_RNA from 1 species
GAUGAAGAACGUAGCAAAAUGCGAUAAGUAAUGUGAAUUGCAGAAUUCAGUGAAUCAUCGAAUCUUUGAACGCACAUUGCGCCCGCCAGUAUUCUGGCGGGCAUGCCUGUUCGAGCGUCAUUUCAACCCUCAAGCACAGCUUGGUGUUGGGACUCGCGUUAAUUCGCGUUCCCCAAAUUGAUUGGCGGUCACGUCGAGCUUCCAUAGCGUAGUAGUAAAACCCUCGUUACUGGUAAUCGUCGCGGCCACGCCGUUAAACCCCAACUUCUGAAUGUUGACCUCGGAUCAGGUAGGAAUACCCGCUGAACUUAAGCAUAUCAAUAAGCGUAGGA